GGCCCUACGGGGCGCAGCAGGCGCGAAACCUUCGCAAUAAGCGAAAGCUUGACGGUUCAUCCCCGAGUGCCAUCUGCUGAGGAUGGCUUUUACCCAGUGUAGAUAGCUGGGGGAAUAAGGAGAGGGCAAGUCUGGUGUCAGCCGCCGCGGUAAUACCAGCUCUCCGAGUGGUGGGGACGUUUAUUGGGCCUAAAGCAUCCGUAGCCGGCUGGGCAAGUCCCCUGUUAAAUCCAGCGAUAAAUCGUUGGCGUGCGGGGGAUACUGCUCGGCUAGGGGGCGGGAGAGGCCGUCGGUAUUCUUGGGGUAGGGGUGAAAUCCUAUAAUCCCAGGAGGACCACCAGUGGCGAAGGCUGUCGGCUAGAACGCGCUCGACGGUGAGGGAUGAAAGCUGGGGGAGCGAACCGGAUUAGAUACCCGGGGUAGUCCCAGCUGUAAACGAUGCAGGCUAGGUGUUAGGGCGGCUACGUGCCGCUCUAGUGCCGCAGGAAAGCUGUUAACC
rnacentral:rRNA from 1 species